rnacentral:rRNA from 1 species
UACAGAGGUCCCGAGCGUUGUUCGGAUUCACUGGGCGUAAAGGGUGCGUAGGUGGCAUGGCAAGUUUGAUGUGAAAGCUCAGGGCUUAACCCUGAAAUGGCAUUGAAUACUGCUGUGCUGGAGGUUUGGAGGGGGGACUGGAAUUCUCGGUGUAGCAGUGAAAUGCGUAGAUAUCGAGAGGAACACCAGUGGCGAAGGCGAGUCCCUGGACAACACCUGACACUGAGGAGCGAAAGCCAGGGGAGCAAACGGG